rnacentral:rRNA from 1 species
GACGAACGCUGGCGGCGUGCUUAACACAUGCAAGUCGAACGGAAAGGCCCUGCUUUUGUGGGGUGAUCGAGUGGCGAACGGGUGAGUAACACGUGAGUAACCUGCCCUUGACUUUGGGAUAACUUCAGGAAACUGGGGCUACUACCGGAUAGGAGCUCCUGCUCCAUGGUGGGGGUUGGAACGUUUCGGCGGUUGGGGAUGGACUCGCGGCUUAUCAGCUAGUUGGUGGGGUAGUGGCUUACCAAGGCUGUGACGGGUAGCCGGCCUAAGAGGGUGACCGGGCACAUUGGGACUGAGAUACGGCCCAGACUGCUACGGCAGGCAGCAGUGGGGAAUAUUGCACAAUGGGCGGAAGCCUGAUGCAGCAACGCCGCGUGCGGGAUGACGGUCUUCGGGUUGUAAACCGCUUUCGCCUGUGACGAAGCGUGAGUGACGGUAAUGGGUAAAGAAGCACCGGCUAACUACGUG